rnacentral:rRNA from 1 species
CCUUAGUAACGGCGAGUAGAAAAGGGAUUAGCCCAGGCACCGAAGCCUGCAAUUGUUUGAUUGCUAGGCAAUGUGGUGUUAAGGUGUGUUCAUUGCGUACUGCUUUACCCUAAGUCCAAUUAUGAGUGUGGCAAUUGGAUUGGCCCAUAGAGGGUGUGAGGCCCGUGAGGGUAAAGGUCAGGUUGGCCAGUAUUGGCUUUGGACAUACCUUGGAGUCGGGUUGUUUGAGAAUGCAGCCCAAAGUAGGUGGUAAACUCCAUCUAAGGCUAAAUACUGGCACGAGUCCGAUAGCGAACAAGUACCGUGAGGGAAAGUUGAAAAGUACUUUGAAGAGAGGGUAAACAGUGCGUGAAACCGCUCAGAGGUAAACGGGUAGAGUUGAACUGAAAGCUUCAAGAAUUCAGCUGACGUGGUUGAUUUUGGCUAGCCUUUAGAGCCUGUUAAGUUACAGGUUCCUGCUUUUGUGGGAAUUUGCGAUGCACUUAGCAAGUGCUGCAUGCUUUGAAGGCAUAUUGUCAUUUUGUCAGUGCACUUUCUUGGAGCUUGCGCCACGACCGGCAUUGUUGUCAGUUUACUGCAGUUAAACCGAUUGAGUUUGGCACUUGUGUUAGGCUUGGUCGGGAUGGCAGGUGGCUUGCUUGUUGGCGUCGCUUUGCCGGCGUCGGCUUUUAAGCGUAAUUAGCUGACUGUAGUGAACCUGUGCAAUGUGUCGGAGUUGAUGGAGCUUAGUGAAGGUAUUGUGGUUGGUUAGAAUGUUUGGAUUUGGUUGGUGUUACUUGUCUUGGUGCAGGUGCUUCAGCAAUGCAAGCGUUCUAAUUGAUAGCAGUAUUUGUUUGCUAGGCUUAAGAGUCUGUGGCGUUGUGGUAGACUAUCUACCUGACCCGUCUUGAAACACGGACCAAGGAGUUUAACAUGUAUGCAAGUCAUUGGGUGGUACGAAGCCCACAGGCGCAGUGAAAGUAAAAGCUAUGUUAGCUAAGGUGAGAUCUUGUGGCCUUUAUUAUUGUUGGAUAUAAGGUGCAAGCGCAUCGCCGGCCCGUCUUAUAAUGUGUUUCAUUGGGGCGGAGCUUGAGCAUACAUGUUGAGACCCGAAAGAUGGUGAGCUAUGCUUGCGAAGGUUGAAGCCAGGGGAAACUCUGGUGGAGGACCGUAGCGAUUCUGACGUGCAAAUCGAUCGUCUAACGUGAGUAUAGGGGCGAAAGACUAAUCGAACCAUCUAGUAGCUGGUUCCCUCUGAAGUUUCCCUCAGGAUAGCUGGCAUUCGAAAAAGUUAACAGUUUUAUUCGGUAAAGCGAAUGAUUAGAGGUAUUGGGGAAAAAUAGUCCUCAACCUAUUCUCAAACUUUAAAUGGGUGAGAUGCUUUGCUCGCUUGAUUGGAGUAGAGCGUUGAAUGUGAAUGCCAAGUGGGCCAUUUUUGGUAAGCAGAACUGGCGCUGUGGGAUGAACCAAACGUUUGGUUAAGGUGCCUAAUAUGACGCUCAUGAGACCCCACAAAAGGUGUUGGUUGAUCUAGACAGCAGGACGGUGGCCAUGGAAGUUGGAAUCCGCUAAGGA